UUUUUUUUUCCUUUGGAGGCGGAGACCGAGCUUGCUCUUGAGCCAUGAACGCUGUAUAACAGUAUCAGUUAGUGAGACGGAAGACGUAGCUGCAGAUGGAGCGCGCUCAGAGUAGCCCAAACAGUUAAAAAGUGUUGCGUUAUCUGAAACUUAAACAAUUACAGAAAGGCACUGAACAAGGAACUAAAAGAGCACAGAACUUUUACACACCCACCCAAAUUGGAUACCACUUUGACUGGACGGCGAGGGACAGUAUUUUGAUGACCGUGGUAGUGUACCGUUUGAUUCGUCUUAAUUUGGGAUUUAGAGAGUUGCUAUUACAUGCUACGCAUUAAUACUAUUACGCACCAGUAUGUCGCGCGCCGAUGAAGAAAAAAAACUGUAUGCUUCUUUAUGUUACAUUGUGUCUACACCGGGCGUGAGCGACGCGACAGUAUCAUUGAUAGCGUGGAAGCGGCGCGGAACGACGACAGACGAAUCCCCGACAGUAAACUGAAACCUUCUCUUUCGUGUAGGCUAAUGCGCUACUUCUGACAAGAAGAACAAGUAGAUUUGCAGUGGUCGUUUGGUGGUAGUUUAUGGGUUCCAUUUUGCUAUGAAUUCCUUUGUUUUACGUUCUGUUUUGACAUGUAUUGUUUUUUUUUCUGUUUUGUUGAAUGUGAUGCUGAGCAGAGUCUAUGAGUUAGGCUAAAUAGGGCCCAUUGGAGGACUGCAUAUUGCUUUUAUUUCUAACAAAUGCAGUGCAGAAAAGUUUAAUAACAAAACUGCCUUAACCCCAAUAAAAACUACAAAAGAGGAGAAACGUGAGUGGAAUUGGAUUCAUGACGUGUGGCGAGGUCUUUUUUCGUGCUUUGGCAAUUUUUGCAGGGAUAGUGGACGAUGAUAGUGGUAGGCAUAAGUUUAGCAAGUGGGUUUUAGAAGAAUUCAGAUCCUUUUUAUUUCAGAAACAUAAAGAGUGUAAUAGCAUCAGCAGUGGUGGUCAGUAACAGAGUAGCUUUACUUUACAUAAGAUCGUACUGUUUACUUCACUACAUUUCAUAAAACAUAUCGUUACUCCUUAUAAUAGGCUAUAUCACGUGCUCCGACACGCAGAAGCGGUGUCUGAUUCAAGAACGAACUGAUUCUUUUCAAUGAACCUUUUAAAUACUGUUAGCUUAUGCUAACUGUCUAACUAACAAGCUUGCUGGUGAUAAGUUGGGGUAAUUUUUAGAUAUAAAGUCUAAAUAUUUUUAUUCAACCACCUCCUAGAUAGAUUACAUCUGGGGGAAAAAGAAAGGAUGUGAUGUUCAGAACAUGGUAACUACAGUAAUUAUCAAAGUGGGAAGUGAUGCCCUCUGGGGGCAUUUGGCCAGGGGUGUUUUUUGUUGUUGUUGUUUUUUACACCACAGACAAGGUUUGAGAAGAAAAAAAUCAUUAUGAAAAUAUAAUUAUAUUUUCCUUAAAAUGUUCUUCCUAACUAAAGGCCUUAUUCUCAUGUCAUAUAUAACUGUGCUUCACAGUGAACAUUACUACAUCAUUCUCAUCAACUUAGUCCAUAUCAACAACAAAAAUAUAUCUUGACUUCAUAUAGUGGUUAUUUUGGGAAAAUCCCAGGCAUUUUGGGCAGUAUAGGAUUAUAAAAAAUAUGUGACAAUAUAACAGGGCUCUAGAGUGCGACCAAUUACCAGUGCUACCAGCCGUUCAAGGAACGUCUCCCUGUGGUUCAACAACAGACACUAGAGCCCUGCAUUUCAGCCUGAGCCCGACGGACCCCGAGUUAUUUACACCCUUAGAGCCGAGCUUCGGGAUAAUUUUCACGACAUAGUUCAGACGCGGCCCGGGCCUCCCGCCUGUUUUAGACUUCUCCUUACUUUUAUAUUUUAGACAUCCAUCAAUUAGUGAUGAAAAAGAAAAUUGCCGGGCUGGUGGAAACAACACAAGACCAUGCUACCACGACUGUCAAGAGCGGCUGGAUGGUGUUUAGUGUCCCGCAGCAGCAGCGCAGCUGAACAGUUCUGCGUUCAAAUACACGCAAUAGGCUCAAGUUUGCCACAAAGCACCAGCAAAAGUAAUUAUAAUAAAUGUGACAGGGGGAAAUAGUAAGGAGAUACUUGAAUUAUUUAAACUAGUGUUUUCUGAAUCUGUGUCGCAAGGAUUACGUUGCUGAUCCUGACUCGCCAUCUCCUCAGACGCGCCUUUAGAGAGAAGUGCAUCUUUAAAGAUUAUAAUGAAAGAGUUUUUGUUUUCAAUUUGUUUUCUUUCAUGAAGUAAUCAUUUAAAGCUUUCUAUAGAAAUAUUUAUCGUGUCUGUGAGGUAUGUUUUCACUGAGUUUCGGUUCAUUUUUGUACUCCUGUUAAAGACGAGACGCAGAAAGCGCAUCGUGUUUGUUUUCUUUAUUUUAUAAAAGCACAACGUUUUUUUUGAGUGCACACAAAUAAAAGACCCUUUGCAGUUACGAAUGAUGUAUUACUCUUACCUUUGUGUGCAAAAAUGAUGGCGUAUCAACUGAAAAAAAUGCAAGUGAUCAUGCUGACAUCUCCAUGUCCUGAAGCGUCUCCGCACAAACUAUUGGAUAUAGCGCACAUUAAGCUGGGUCCAACGUUUAAACAUUGUUAUAUGCUUGAACUUAUAUUUAAAAAACAAAAAUUGCACCAAACGUUUUUCUAAAUUAACUUAAUAUAAAAACAAAAAUGAAAUAUAAUCACUUUGCUAUUACAUACAAAACUGAACUAUUUUAAUAGCUGAAACAGUAGUAUAAGCUGUUUAGCUGUUCAUAUCAGACACUAGAGCAUCCCUUCAUUCAGACACAGUGAAAGAUCUGAUAAGAAUUAGUGUAGAGGUGCCAAGUCUGGAAUAUUUUUGAGAGAGAGUGUGGCCAGCUGGUUUAGCCAAGGCCAAAGAUCAAGAAGGCAAAAACUACAGGAGUUGGCCAUCCGAGAGGCAUGUGACUGCAAUGGAGGAUAGUCCAUAAGACAUUGAGCCAUGAGAUGUUCAGUUUGAAGCCCUUAAAACACUUAAUUUAGAUUUUCUUUUUAUUUCAUUUAUCUUGAGAUGUUUUAAGUUUAAAUUUCAGCUCAGUGAAGCACUUUAAGCACCAACACUUUUUCAGUAAGUUACCUUUCUUGUAGAAUUGUGCUUCAAAUGAAGAACUUUAUGUUUUUGUCAGAUAUUGUGAAAAGUGGGUGUUACAUACCAGAAUGGAGCCAGAUAUCAAAGUGGAGGGCUCAUGUUGACUUUAAUCUUUAUAGCAUUUAGAGUCGUCUUACCCACAGGAGACUAGUUAUCACUUUUAGAACCACUACCACUCAAUUUUCAUAAUCUCUUUGUUCCUCAGAAAGUGUCCAUCGUGCCAGAGAGAGCCAGUGAGUGACCUUACACAGAGCCUUAACUCUGAGCCUCUAAACACAGUUGCAUAAGAUAUUUUUUUCAUUCAUUAUUACAUAUGUUUUUUCAUAGAUUACUUAAAUGUAAAUUAACAGAAUGUGUUGGUAAGUGUAAAAUAGGAGUGAUAUGUAUUGUUUAUGUCAGCAGCAACGCAGGUUUCAAUGGACAGAUGGAAGGCAGCCAUCAUCUGCACUGGUGUGGAAAUGUGUCUUACAAGGUCUCAGGAAGUUCCUGCUGUAAUGGUAAUAUAACUCUGGGAUUAAGCCAGCUGGUGGCUGACUGCUGUGGUUCUGUAGCUUACAAUCCACUUAAUGAGAUUUGCUGUAAUGGCAGUAUUCUGACUCGAAGCAGCACUUACGCGAAAUGCUGUGGCAAAGACAUGUACUUGACAACGACUCAUGUGUGUUGUGGUAAAAACAACAUAUUUCAAUGGAAGGAAAAUCAUUCUUGUUGUGGCGAGAAAACAUAUGACGAGACAAUCCACUGCUGCUGUAGUAACCCUACACCAGUAGUAAAGCAUAAAAAUGAAACUUGCUGUCUAAAAGCAAAAGAUCAUGAUAAAAAAACAGAACACCAGCCAGGCUCUCCUCCAACUCGCCCUCUGCCCAUAUUAUCAGACUUGAUUUGUGGAUCAGAAACCUACAAUCCCCAUAAACAAAUGUGUUGCUCAGGGAAUCUGUAUAAGGCAUCAGCACUUACUAAGUGCUGUGGUGGAGAUGCUUACACUCUGUCAGAUGACAAUGUGCUGUGCUGUAAUGGAAUCCUUCAUCUCAAUGUGCCUGAGCAGUCUGAGUGUGUUGGAGGUGUUAUAUAUACUCCAGCAAACACUACUUGCCAAAUGUCGACCCGUCCUCGUCUUGGAGAGCACUGCUGUGGAGGACAAACCUUCAAUCCUCGCACGCAUAUUUGCUGUAAUGGUCACAGGUAGGCCCACAGAUUACAAAGAUUUAAAAGU
ensembl:lncRNA